UUUUCUUUAGAAGUUGUUUUAACAAUCUUUUUGAUUGUGGGAGCCAUCUUCAACCUUCUUCUUGCCAUUGAUAUUCUUUGGAGGGGAGAUUAGAGCCGUUUGAAGGGAGUUGUGAGAUCUUUCGAGAUUUCAAGGCUUCUUAGGACUUAUCUUUUAAUUUCUUACUGUUAAUUCUUUCUUUAUUUCUACUUGUGCUGAAUCAUUAUCUAAUCUAUUUUCUGUUCUUAUUGUGUUUUCAGCCUUUUUCUAUCUUAAGGAAUCAGCCCAAAAAUCCCCAAUUUCUAGGGUUUUUCCAUACUCUUUUUGGGUGAAAUUAGAUUGUCGAAAUUUGGGGAAAACUAUCUUGGUGUUCAAUUGGGCAGAAUCACAAUCUCCUUGAGGGUUUCAAGAACCCUAACACUUAUUUCUAUUCUCAAUUUGAUUCUUUGCUGAUUUGGGGA
rnacentral:lncRNA from 1 species